rnacentral:tRNA from 1 species
GCCCUCGUGGCGAAACUGGCAGACGCGCAUGGCUUAGGACCAUGUUCCGCAAGGAUUGGAGGUUCAAAUCCUCCCGAGGGCA